rnacentral:rRNA from 1 species
UACGUAUGUCCCGAGCGUUAUCCGGAUUUAUUGGGCGUAAAGCGAGCGCAGACGGUUGCUUAAGUCUGAAGUGAAAGCCCACAGCUCAACUGUGGAAUGGCUUUGGAAACUGGGCAACUUGAGUGCAGUAGAGGUAAGUGGAACUCCAUGUGUAGCGGUGGAAUGCGUAGAUAUAUGGAAGAACACCAGUGGCGAAGGCGGCUUACUGGACUGCAACUGACGUUGAGGCUCGAAAGUGUGGGUAGCAAACAGG